AAAAGCAUAACAUAUAUGUGGGUAUAAAUACAUAAAUGAUGUGCAAUGUUUAAGGGUAAAUUAAACUAUCAUGCAUGAUGCACGUUAUAUGCAUGAUCUAACGGGUAAAUCAAAACAUCAUGCAAGAUGCAUGUUUAAACUGGUAAAUUAAACCAUCACCAUUCUACCAUUCUAUUGAUGUGCCUAUAAAUACGUUUAUUUUGUCCAUUAAAACUCUACUUAUCUUAAAUAUUCAUAGAAUAAUACAAACAUAAAGUUAUACCGCACAAUGAUGCAGCAUGUGAAAUCACAUACGAUGGUAGUUCUCCUGUUACUACUGAUUUGUUACACCGGUACUGUAGCUUACGGUAGCCUGGGUUUACAAAACUCCUUACGCUAGAAAGCUACUAGAGUACGGUAGGAUUUUUCUUUCAGGAGCUACCGUAACUUAUGGUAGCCCCUGGCAGACUAAGAGGUGCAGUAGGUCACGGAUUAAUAUAAAAAAUAAAAUAAUAGCAAAUCACGUGAUUCAUCCCCACCCAUUCGAUUUCCUGCAUUUAUCCCUAUCCACACAUUACCUUUUCACUAACCAUCUUUUUCACAUAACCCUAGUUCCUCCAUAACCUUCCACACCUUCAAUUCUUCAUAUCUCUCUCAAAUCUUAACCAAAUCCUCUGAUUUCGGGGUCUUUUUUGAGGGAAAUUUCAAGAGCUUUCUGAUUUUGGGUUGGAAUUUAGAAGAAAACAACAUUUUCUGGUCUGAUUUGCAUGUUUUAAAGCCGAAAAUUUUGGGGUUUUAGGAGGUUACUUAUUUUUGAGGUUCCUUUGUAUCUUUGCAUCUACAAACUCAAGUUGAUGAUAUGAAAUUGUUAGUUUGGAAGAUGGCUAUGGUUGUAAAAGUUAAGUUGAUGCUAAAUUUCUGAAUUUUGGGAAAUCUUUACAUUGUAGAGGCAUCAUGCCAAAUUUUGAAAAAAUAUAAUAUGAAACCUUGUGUUUAUUGGCAUCUACAACCAUAGUUACAAGCAAUAUCUGGAUCCGACGGAUAAGCCGAUAUGGG